rnacentral:rRNA from 1 species
GACGAACGCUGGCGGCGUGCUUAACACAUGCAAGUCGAACGGAAAGGCCCUGCUUUUGUGGGGUGCUCGAGUGGCGAACGGGUGAGUAACACGUGAGUAACCUGCCCUUGACUUUGGGAUAACUUCAGGAAACUGGGGCUAAUACCGGAUAGGAGCUCCUGCUGCAUGGUGGGGGUUGGAAAGUUUCGGCGGUUGGGGAUGGACUCGCGGCUUAUCAGCUUGUUGGUGGGGUAGUGGCUUACCAAGGCUUUGACGGGUAGCCGGCCUGAGAGGGUGACCGGCCAAAUUGGGACUGAGAUACGGCCCAGACUCAUACGGGAGGCAGCAGUGGGGAAUAUUGCACAAUGGGCGGAAGCCUGAUGCAGCAACGCCGCGUGCGGGAUGACGGCCUUCGGGUUGUAAACCGCUUUCGCCUGUGACGAAGCGUGAGUGACGGUAAUGGGUAAAGAAGCACAGGCUAACUACGUG